rnacentral:rRNA from 1 species
AACGAACGCUGGCGGCAGGCCUAACACAUGCAAGUCGAGCGAGGACUUCGGUCCUAGCGGCGGACGGGUGAGUAACGCGUGGGAACGUGCCCUUUGCUUCGGAAUAGCCCUGGGAAACUGGGAGUAAUACCGGAUGAGCCCUUUGGGGGAAAGAUUUAUCGGCGAAGGAUCGGCCCGCGUUGGAUUAGGUAGUUGGUGGGGUAAUGGCCUACCAAGCCGACGAUCCAUAGUUGGUUUGAGAGGAUGAUCAGCCACACUGGGACUGAGACACGGCCCAGACUCCUACGGGAGGCAGCAGUGGGGAAUCUUAGACAAUGGGGGAAACCCUGAUCUAGCCAUGCCGCGUGAGCGAUGAAGGCCUUAGGGUUGUAAAGCUCUUUCAGCUGGGAAGAUAAUGACGGUACCAGCAGAAGAAGCCCCGGCUAACUCCGUG